CCCCUUUCUUACACCCCACCCAUUAUCUCAUCUUCCCCCCUUUUCCCAAAACCUCACUAAUCCCCAAACCUCGUUAAAUUAAUCCCCAAUUCAAAUCAUUUCCCAAAAACUCCGUCAUUUCCCAAACCUCAGUACUUUCCAAACCUCAUCUCCCAAACGUUAUUGUAUAAGACCCAUUAUGGUGUUACGCGAUUGUGUCUGGGGGUUGCUUGGACGCGUUCUUUGGAGGGAAAGCAC